AGUUGCUGCUGUAAAUGGAUUCCAAAACCACUUUUAAUUGACCCAUCCCUACAUUGCCUCAGUUCAUCUCUCAUUCUGCACCAGCUGCCUGUUGUCCCAAAGUUUCAAUGCUAAUUCCACUAUGGCAUGCUCCUGGAAACUUAUGCAUAAGGAAUCUGGAACCAUUUGGUUUUAGUUGACUUUUUAAAAAUACGUUUUGGUGUCACAGUUGUAUUAUUAAACAUA
rnacentral:lncRNA from 1 species